rnacentral:rRNA from 1 species
AGAGUUUGAUCCUGGCUCAGGAUGAACGCUAGCGACAGGCUUAACACAUGCAAGUCGAGGGGCAGCACAGGUAGCAAUACCGGGUGGCGACCGGCGCACGGGUGAGUAACGCGUAUGCAACUUACCUAUCAGAGGGGGAUAACCCGGCGAAAGUCGGACUAAUACCGCAUGAAGCAGGGGCCCCGCAUGGGGAUAUUUGCUAAAGAUUCAUCGCUGAUAGAUAGGCAUGCGUUCCAUUAGGCAGUUGGCGGGGUAACGGCCCACCAAACCGACGAUGGAUAGGGGUUCUGAGAGGAAGGUCCCCCACAUUGGUACUGAGACACGGACCAAACUCCUACGGGAGGCAGCAGUGAGGAAUAUUGGUCAAUGGCCGAGAGGCUGAACCAGCCAAGUCGCGUGAGGGAUGAAGGUUCUAUGGAUCGUAAACCUCUUUUAUAAGGGAAUAAAGUGCGGGACGUGUCCCGUUUUGUAUGUACCUUAUGAAUAAGGAUCGGCUAACUCCGUGCCAGCAGCCGCGGUAAUACGGAGGAUCCGAGCGUUAUCCGGAUUUAUUGGGUUUAAAGGGUGCGUAGGCGGCCUUUUAAGUCAGCGGUGAAAGUCUGUGGCUCAACCAUAGAAUUGCCGUUGAAACUGGGGGGCUUGAGUAUGUUUGAGGCAGGCGGAAUGCGUGGUGUAGCGGUGAAAUGCAUAGAUAUCACGCAGAACCCCGAUUGCGAAGGCAGCCUGCCAAGCCAUGACUGACGCUGAUGCACGAAAGCGUGGGGAUCAAACAGGAUUAGAUACCCUGGUAGUCCACGCAGUAAACGAUGAUCACUAGCUGUUUGCGAUACACUGUAAGCGGCACAGCGAAAGCGUUAAGUGAUCCACCUGGGGAGUACGCCGGCAACGGUGAAACUCAAAGGAAUUGACGGGGGCCCGCACAAGCGGAGGAACAUGUGGUUUAAUUCGAUGAUACGCGAGGAACCUUACCCGGGUUUGAACGCAUUCGGACCGAGGUGGAAACACCUUUUCUAGCAAUAGCCGUUUGCGAGGUGCUGCAUGGUUGUCGUCAGCUCGUGCCGUGAGGUGUCGGCUUAAGUGCCAUAACGAGCGCAACCCUUGCCACUAGUUACUAACAGGUGAUGCUGAGGACUCUGGUGGGACUGCCAGCGUAAGCUGCGAGGAAGGCGGGGAUGACGUCAAAUCAGCACGGCCCUUACAUCCGGGGCGACACACGUGUUACAAUGGCGUGGACAAAGGGAGGCCACCUGGCGACAGGGAGCGAAUCCCCAAACCACGUCUCAGUUCGGAUCGGAGUCUGCAACUCGACUCCGUGAAGCUGGAUUCGCUAGUAAUCGCGCAUCAGCCAUGGCGCGGUGAAUACGUUCCCGGGCCUUGUACACACCGCCCGUCAAGCCAUGGGAGCCGGGGGUACCUGAAGUCCGUAACCGCGAGGAUCGGCCUAGGGUAAAACUGGUGACUGGGGCUAAGUCGUAACAAGGUAGCCGUACCGGAAGGUGCGGCUG